UUGUCCUACGGGGGGCAGCAGUGGGGAAUAUUGCACAAUGGGGGAAACCCUGAUGCAGCGACGCCGCGUGAGCGAUGAAGUAUUUCGGUAUGUAAAGCUCUAUCAGCAGGGAAGAAAAUGACGGUACCUGACUAAGAAGCCCCGGCUAACUACGUGCCAGCAGCCGCGGUAAUACGUAGGGGCAAGCGUUAUCCGGAUUUACUGGGUGUAAAGGGAGCGUAGACGGUCCUGCAAGCCAGAUGUGAAAGCCCGGGGCUCAACCCCGGGACUGCUCUUGGAACUGCGUGGCUAGAGUGCAGGAGGGG
rnacentral:rRNA from 1 species